ACCUGGCUAGCUCAGUUGGUGGAGCAUGUGACUCUUGAUCUUGGGGUUGUGAGUUUGAGCCCCAUGUUGGGUA
rnacentral:tRNA from 1 species